GGACAAUCUGCCCUGAAGAGGAGGAUAAUCCCGGGAAACUGGGGGUAAUACUCUAUAGUCCGGGAGGACUGGAAUGUUCUCCGGAUGAAAGAUCCGUCGCUUCAGGAUGAGUCUGCGGCCGAUUAGGUAGUUGUUGGGGUAAAAGCCCAACAAGCCCGUAAUCGGUACGGGUUGUGGGAGCAAGAGCCCGGAGAUGGAUUCUGAGACACGAAUCCAGGCCCUACGGGGCGCAGCAGGCGCGAAAACUUUACAAUGCGGGCAACCGUGAUAAGGAAACCCCGAGUGCCACCACAGGGUGGCUGUCCACCAGUGUAAAAAACUGGUGAAGAAAGGGCCGGGCAAGACCGGUGCCAGCCGCCGCGGUAAUACCGGCGGCUCGAGUGGUGGCCGCUUUUACUGGGCUUAAAGGGUCCGUAGCUUGAUUCACAAGUCCCUUGAGAAAUCCAUCGGCUUAACUGAUGGGCGUUCAGGGGAUACUGUGGUUCUAGGGACCGGGAGAGGUGAGAGGUACUGCCGGGGUAGGAGUGAAAUCCUGUAAUCCCGGUGGGACGACCUAUGGCGAAGGCAUCUCACCAGAACGGCUCCGACAGUGAGGGACGAAAGCUGGGGGAGCAAACCGGAUUAGAUACCCGGGUAGUCCCAGCUGUAAACGAUGCGCGUUAGGUGUGUCAGUGAUCACGUGUCACUGAGAUGCCGAAGGGAAACCGUGAAACGCGCCGCCUGGGGAGUACGGUCGCAAGGCUGAAACUUAAAGGAAUUGGCGGGGGAGCACCACAGCGGGUGGAGCCUGCGGUUUAAUCGGACUCAACGCCGGAAAUCUCACCGGAUAAGACAGCUGAAUGAUAGUCGGGAUGAAGACUCUACUUGACUAGCUGAGAGGAGGUGCAUGGCCGUCGUCAGUUCGUACUGUGAAGCAUCCUGUUUAGUCAGGCAACGAGCGAGACCCACGCCAACAGUUGCCAGCUUGGCCUUCGGGCUGAUGGGGACACUGUUGGGACCGCCUC
rnacentral:rRNA from 1 species